CAGAAGUUUAGUUCCGCUUUUGCUCACGUAGAAGUUCCGCUAAAUAAUCAGGAUCCUGGAAUUUAUAUGGACUAUUUACCGUUUCUGCGCUCACGUGAAAGAGAAAACGUAGGGAGGUCAUCUUUGCUAGCACAGCAUUUCCAGAGAAUGAAAUAAUCAUAGGAAGCAGGAGAUAAUUCUAUUUUUGAAAAUCCUUUUUGAAGAAAGGCUUACUCCUAUCUGCUGUGUAACGUGGUUAUCAUAUCAAGACGCAUGAAACUCGUAUAUCAAGUGGAAGUAAUACACAGAAACUGCAAAAGAAGAUCCAGCCGACUUCAACAAGCUGCUACUAAAUUUGAGAAGAAAGAAAAUGUAGAGAUCUACAUGAACCCGAAAUUUUGGUAACCACAUAUAUUUAUACAAAGUGAAUAUAGUACUGACACAACCAAUGUACUGUUCAACAUCUGAAAGUACCACAUAUGAUUUAUAUUAUCCACAUAUAUUUUAUGUUUCUCAAAUAUCACCUUCCUUUGAAAACUAUUGUUAUAAUCUCUCAAAAUAAA